GAAACCCGGUGAUCUAGCCAUGGGCAGGUUGAAGGUUGGGUAACACUAACUGGAGGACCGAACCGACUAAUGUUGAAAAAUUAGCGGAUGACCUGUGGCUGGGGGUGAAAGGCCAAUCAAACCGGGAGAUAGCUGGUUCUCCCCGAAAGCUAUUUAGGUAGCGCCUCGUGAAUUCAUCUCCGGGGGUAGAGCACUGUUUCGGCUAGGGGGCCAUCCCGGCUUACCAACCCGAUGCAAACUGCGAAUACCGGAGAAUGUUAUCACGGGAGACACACGGCGGGUGCUAACGUCCGUCGUGAAGAGGGAAACAACCCAGACCGCCAGCUAAGGUCCCAAAGUCAUGGUUAAGUGGGAAACGAUGUGGGAAGGCCCAGACAGCCAGGAUGUUGGCUUAGAAGCAGCCAUCAUUUAAAGAAAGCGUAAUAGCUCACUGGUCGAGUCGGCCUGCGCGGAAGAUGUAACGGGGCUAAACCAUGCACCGAAGCUGCGGCAGCGACGCUGAUGCGUUGUUGGGUAGGGGAGCGUUCUGUAAGCCUGUGAAGGUGGCCUGUGAGGGUUGCUGGAGGUAUCAGAAGUGCGAAUGCUGACAUAAGUAACGAUAAAGCGGGUGAAAAGCCCGCUCGCCGGAAGACCAAGGGUUCCUGUCCAACGUUAAUCGGGGCAGGGUGAGUCGACCCCUAAGGCGAGGCCGAAAGGCGUAGUCGAUGGGAAACGGGUUAAUAUUCCCGUACUUGGUGUUACUGCGAAGGGGGGACGGAGAAGGCUAUGUUGGCCGGGCGACGGUUGUCCCGGUUUAAGCGUGUAGGUGUGUGUUCCAGGUAAAUCCGGUUCACUUUAACACUGAGGCGUGAUGACGAGGCACUACGGUGCUGAAGCAACAAAUGCCCUGCUUCCAGGAAAAGCCUCUAAGCAUCAGGUAACAUCAAAUCGUACCCCAAACCGACACAGGUGGUCAGGUAGAGAAUACCAAGGCGCUUGAGAGAACUCGGGUGAAGGAACUAGGCAAAAUGGUGCCGUAACUUCGGGAGAAGGCACGCUGACAUGUAGGUGAAGUGAUUUACUCAUGGAGCUGAAGUCAGUCGAAGAUACCAGCUGGCUGCAACUGUUUAUUAAAAACACAGCACUGUGCAAACACGAAAGUGGACGUAUACGGUGUGACGCCUGCCCGGUGCCGGAAGGUUAAUUGAUGGGGUCAGCGCAAGCGAAGCUCCUGAUCGAAGCCCCGGUAAACGGCGGCCGUAACUAUAACGGUCCUAAGGUAGCGAAAUUCCUUGUCGGGUAAGUUCCGACCUGCACGAAUGGCGUAAUGAUGGCCAGGCUGUCUCCACCCGAGACUCAGUGAAAUUGAACUCGCUGUGAAGAUGCAGUGUACCCGCGGCAAGACGGAAAGACCCCGUGAACCUUUACUAUAGCUUGACACUGAACAUUGAGCCUUGAUGUGUAGGAUAGGUGGGAGGCUUUGAAGUGUGGACGCCAGUCUGCAUGGAGCCGACCUUGAAAUACCACCCUUUAAUGUUUGAUGUUCUAACGUGGACCCGUAAUCCGGGUUGCGGACAGUGUCUGGUGGGUAGUUUGACUGGGGCGGUCUCCUCCUAAAGAGUAACGGAGGAGCACGAAGGUUGGCUAAUCCUGGUCGGACAUCAGGAGGUUAGUGCAAUGGCAUAAGCCAGCUUGACUGCGAGCGUGACGGCGCGAGCAGGUGCGAAAGCAGGUCAUAGUGAUCCGGUGGUUCUGAAUGGAAGGGCCAUCGCUCAACGGAUAAAAGGUACUCCGGGGAUAACAGGCUGAUACCGCCCAAGAGUUCAUAUCGACGGCGGUGUUUGGCACCUCGAUGUCGGCUCAUCACAUCCUGGGGCUGAAGUAGGUCCCAAGGGUAUGGCUGUUCGCCAUUUAAAGUGGUACGCGAGCUGGGUUUAGAACGUCGUGAGACAGUUCGGUCCCUAUCUGCCGUGGGCGCUGGAGAACUGAGGGGGGCUGCUCCUAGUACGAGAGGACCGGAGUGGACGCAUCACUGGUGUUCGGGUUGUCAUGCCAAUGGCACUGCCCGGUAGCUAAAUGCGGAAGAGAUAAGUGCUGAAAGCAUCUAAGCACGAAACUUGCCCCGA
rnacentral:rRNA from 1 species